rnacentral:lncRNA from 1 species
GAGGUAUUAUCCUCAUCUCCAUUUUACAGAUGAGGAAACUGAGGUUGAAAGAUAUUAAAGUGACUUGUCAAGGAUCACAUAGCUGGUCAAUAUCUGAGACUGAAUUUGAACUCUGGCCUUCUUGUUUCUAGGACUAAUGCUCUAUCCACUGUAUAUGUCAGUCUGAGAAAUAUGGGGAAACUUUCUGGGUGGACCUAGAAAGCCAACUGCUGCAGAGGGCCUUCAAGGAUCUGAAACAAUAAGAAAUUCUUGGUUCAUUUUUCUCAAAAAUAAAGGUGUCCUCCAAGAAUGGAUGUCAUGGACUCUUACCAUCAGAAUGAGAUAGGAGGAAACUCUUCUUCUACUAUUAAAGGAUGCCUGGCUUUAACUACAGCUGGAAAGCAAAUAAGGAGUAGAAGACCUUCCUAUCAGCUUGCUGAUAAAUUGCCAGCCCCCCUGGCUUACUAAUUCUGGAGUAAGAAACAGUUAGUGAAAGGCAGCUCCAAAAAGAGUGACCACUGGAAGCAAAGAAGAGAGCCAAAUAUGGAUUCAAGACAGUUAGGAGUCGAGUUGUGAAAAGAAACAAGCCCAGGUAGCCUGGAUGAACUGUCUGCCCAACAGAGAUGCUGAACCCAGCCUAAGAUCACCAUGAGAAACAAGAUAUGCAAUGUUGGAAGGAUGAGUUAUUUUGGACAUGUGUGUCCCCAUGUGUAUAUAUACUCCACUGCCUAUGUACUCUAAGUUUGUGUUCCCUAUUCCCAUUAACAUUGUGAGAG